rnacentral:lncRNA from 1 species
GAUGGGGGUUCCCUUUGUGGUCAUAAAGCCUCUUUCUCUUCAUAUGGAAUUAUGAGAAUGUAGGAUGCGGUAUGCAUAGUUGGAAUGAGCAUAAAUGUUUCCCUGCCUGUUGUGGGCCAAGGCAUACGAUACAUUUACAUUUAUCAUUGGGUGUUUGUACCUGAACUUUUUCAAGCACAGAAAAAAUAACUACCCAGCAAACUUAUCAUUCAGAAUUGAAGGAAAAUUAAAGAUCUUCCAAAAUAAGAAGAAAUUACAAGAAUUUGUGACUACUAAGCAAGCACUUCAAAAGAUACUUUAAGCACCACUGCACAGAGAAGAAAAGUAGACUAAGCAAUGAGUAUUAGAAGUGAAUAAAGCAUUGUAAAAAUGAGGAAAUGGCAGGAAUAAAUACAUACUUUUAAAAUAUAUCUCUCAAUAUGAAUUCUAUUAAUUGUUUAAUUAAAAGAAACAUAUUGGUAGAUUGAAUAAAAAGUAAGACUCAACUGUGUGUUGCCUGCAAGAAGCACACAUCACUUGCAAAGAUGUACAUAGCCUGAAAGUAGAGGGUUGAAGAUAAUAUUCCAUGCAAAUAGAAUCUGGAAGGAAGCAGGACUAACACAGUUAUAUUGAACAAUGCAGAUAUCAAGUCAAAAGUAGUCAGAUGGGACAAAAGUUCUUACAUAUCAGCAAAGGGAACAAUUCAUCAAGAAGAUAUAGCAAUAGCAAACAUAUAUGCCCCAAAUAUUGGUGCACAGAAAUUUCAUGAAACAAACUUAAAGAAGCAGAUAAAUACCAAUACAAUAAUAGUCCGUUACUUUAAUAUCCUACUUUUACAAAUAGGUCAAUUUGUAAAAGAAGGAUACAAAAGAUUAACAAUGAAAUAUCAGACUUAACCUACGCUAUUGAUGAAACAAGCAUAACUGACAUCUACAGAAGAUGUCAUUAACAACAGUGGAAUACGCAUAUGUUUCAGCAGCUCACUGAAUUUCUCUAAAAUAGACUAUAUUUUAAAGAGAAGUGAUGUUCAUCCUAUGCAAUCAC